CAUCUAAAAAAUUAAAAUAAAAAAGAAAGAGAAAAAAAAAAUCCAAUCUUCAAAUUUAUUUUCUUUGUUUUCAAUGAUUCAUCAUGAAUAAAUCCUGGCAGAUUUAGAAGGCACCAAGUAAGUGAAGUAGAUCAGAUCUGAAAAGGAUUGGAUUUAUUUCUCAAGCAAAUUUCCUCUUGAAAAGCUUCGGAUCUAUUACUUCUAUCUAGAAGUGCUUGGUAGAGUGCUGAAGAAAGGCAUUUGGUUCUCAUACUUUGAAUUGUCUUCACCUUGCCUCGUUACGUACUUAAAAAGUGUUACUCGGCAGAAAACUGAAGAAAAAGCAGUUGGUUGUCACACUUUGGACUAUCUUCACCUUGCUUGAAGUUUCUUCAAUUUGAGCUGUCAAGAAUGGCUUGUGGGUUUUGCGAGAAUGCUCUCUCUAACUGCGUGGGAACACUGCUCGUGGAUUGGGUGGCGAAGCCAGUAGGACGUCAAUUUAAUUACAUUCGCCAUUUUCAUGACAAUGUUGAAAAGCUCAAAGAAAGAAAAGAAGAACUAAUAAUGGCACGGGCUCGGCUGCAACAUGAGAUUGAGUAUGCUGAAAGGCGACUUCAAGGAAUUGAAGAUGAUGUCAGAUUUUUGCUAUCAAAGGCGGACAAAAUCCUAUCAGAUAUGGAAACUCUAGAAAAGGAAUUGCAGCAAAACAAGAGAUGUUUCAAUUGGUGUCCUAAUUGGAGUUGGCGGUAUAGAUUAAGAAGAAAGCAAUAAAGAACACUCUUGUUAUUUGUGAGCUUAUAGAGAAGAUUAACAAAUUUGGUCAACCUGGACGAGUGGGCUACCGUUCACGUAGUACAAAUCCGACCAUAGAAUUUCUCUCAUCUAAGGAUUUUAUGGUUUUUGAAUCUUCAAAAAAAGGUUUCGAUCAGAUAAUUGAAGCCUUACAGGAUGACAAGGUCAGCAUGAUUGGAUUGUGGGGGAUGCCAGGGGUGGGCAAGACAACCCUUGUCCGAGAAGUUGGAAUUCAUGCCAAAAAAUUAAAUCUGUUUGACAGAGUUGCGAUUGCUACUGUGUCUCAAAAGCCAAACUUUGAAACAAUUCAAGAUGAAAUUGCAAAAGACUUGGAUUUCGAUAUGAAGAAUGCCCAAGGAAGAAGAUCAAUCCAAGAGUUCUGGUCGAAACUGCGGGAACUACAGAAGGAUAAAAGGAUUCUAAUAAUCCUUGAUGAUGUUUGGGCAAAAAUUGACUUGAAGGAGAAGAUAGGAAUUCCAUUUGCCGAGGAUCAUAAAGGCUGCAAAAUUCUUU